rnacentral:tRNA from 1 species
UCCCUGGUGGUCCAGUGGCUAAGGCUCUGUGCUCCCAAUGCAGGAGGCCUGGGUUCAAUCCCUGGUCAUGGAA